rnacentral:tRNA from 1 species
GGCCCGUUGGUCAAGAGGUUAAGACACCGCCCUUUCACGGCGGGAACGCGAGUUCAAUUCUCGCACGGGUCACCA